rnacentral:lncRNA from 1 species
UGGUUGUCCAUCGAAGAAAAAGGCAAUCAUCUCACCUCCUCCUCUUUCUUUCUCUGGUUUAUGUUCAUGGCUUCAUGUCAUUGUGUCUGCUAGAAAUUGGAGUCAAAGAUGUUGUCAGAGCUGAGGUAAAGCCCUAGCAUUUCUCCCCUUUGUUUCUUCCUCUUCCCAUGACCUUGAAAGACCCCUCACCGGCUUGUACUUGGCCAAAAAUCGAUCAAGUUCCACUUCUCUUGUUUUUCAGCCUUGAUUUUUUCCUUUUCCAGCCACUGACGUCACCACCCCUUGGUGCCAGAGUCCUGGUCGAAUAGUCUGAUGUCAAUCCUAGAAUUGAUUUUGAUGAUAUCAAAGGUGUUUGAGUACCAAUCAUAUUUGUUGAUAAUGGUUCUGAGAGU